GUGAAUACGGACGCUCCUCUAAGAAAUGCCGCUUUAUCGAGGUGACACAUGGGAUAGACAGGCAUCCCAGCAAGGAGUCGGGACGAUCCCUUACCAGGAUGGGAGACCCCAAGUGAACAAAAUGGCAUCCCGGCCAAGAGAGGGAAGGAUGUCGCACCUGGACAAGGCUGACCAAUGGAUGGAUGGACAUCCCACCCAGAUGGCACAAUUCCUUACCUGGGCGGGAAGCCCCAAACAAAUGGACAGACGUCUGAACUGGACACAUGCUUAAUACCUAUCCUGGUUGGGAUAAAACAGGAGAGGGAAGGACUGUCUCUGUGGGGGGUUUAUACCUCCCAGGUGGCAGAUGGCAUCAACCCUUCAUAUUGAUGCUCAAUUGGUAACCAGUCAGAGACGCUGGGAGUUAUAGUCCAGCAGCACAGCCCUACUGGGGUCCAUGGGUGCCACAAGAGGGCACUGCAGGCAGAUGCGCUCCCUACUAUAUUGGACUUCCAUAUGACCCAGUAGUACUUCCCACAGGAAGCAACCAUGGCGCCGGAAGUACUCCUGGGUCCAGGUGGCUUGUAGCUGGGAGGAUGGACAGCAACACUCAAUAGGAUGAGGGCAGUGUGGUGGUGAGAGGAGAGGUGAUCGUGAGAAAGAAAACUUGUGCUUGGUAGUUUGUGGAGGUAUUUUUGCAAUAAACCAUCCUUUAUUUCAA